rnacentral:lncRNA from 1 species
UCUGCAAGAUCUUGUAGGGUCCGUAGUAGCGAGUACUCAAUUUCAAAUUUUGUCGGAUAGCUAAUGAAGUCUGACGGUAAGGCUGGAGUUUGAGAUAAACUAAGUCACCCUCCUGGAGCACACGUUCUGAUCUAUUUCGAUCGGCAUAAAACUCAUACGCGACUGAGCCUGGACAAGAUUGUCCUUCAGAGAGUGCAAGAGUUGUUGUC